UACGAAGGGGGCUAGCGUUGCUCGGAAUCACUGGGCGUAAAGCGCGCGUAGGCGGCUUUCUAAGUCAGGGGUGAAAUCCUGGAGCUCAACUCCAGAACUGCCUUUGAUACUGGAAAUCUUGAGUUCGGGAGAGGUGAGUGGAACUGCGAGUGUAGAGGUGAAAUUCGUAGAUAUUCGCAAGAACACCAGUGGCGAAGGCGGCUCACUGGCCCGAUACUGACGCUGAGGUGCGAAAGCGUGGGGAGCAAACAGG
rnacentral:rRNA from 1 species